rnacentral:rRNA from 1 species
GAACCUGCGGAAGGAUCNUUUA